rnacentral:lncRNA from 1 species
AUCUUAUAUCAGAUGCAUUUUUGCAAAAACAUGCAGUUUGGACGUCAAAAUACUUAUACGUAAUUUACAGGCGAUCUUUGAAAACUUCAGUGAUACCUGACGACUGGCGAAGGGCCAAAGUAAUACCUGUGCACAAAUCUGGCUCUAAACUCGACAGUUCAUCACUUGUGCAUGUGCAACAUAUUGGCGGAGGCAAUACGAACUGCAUUUCUCACUAGCUGGACAAGUCGGAAUGGCAAUGCACCUUGGAGAACAAGACUCGAAUUGUGAAAGUCUGGUGGUUUCACAGAACUUUGUUUUAUGACAAGAUGGGCUGACACCAUGUCACCUGAUGCUGUCACUCUCUGGAAAUGCCUAUUUUCUGCCUGCCCAGGAGGAGCUCCAAGCAAUAAUCACAGAUCAAAACGU